CUUGUGCCACGGUGGCCCAAAUGUCAGUCAACCAGACAUGUCUUCUGAGAGUUCCCAGGAAUGUGGUGAAGAGCAACUGUAAGCGAUAAGAUUGUUCCCAGCGCUAAUAAAACUUUGGAGUUAAUUAACUGAGAAGAAGGUAAAAUGAAAUGUUGUUAUGAGGGCUAAAGUUGUUUUUCUACCUUUUUGAAAAUUAUUUUUUAUCUGUUGAAAUUAUAAUAUAAUUAUCAUCUCUCCUUCUUUUUGCUCCCCUCUCAGAAAUUAACAGCCUUGAGUUGCAGGUGGAAGGUGCAGAAGCCAAAUUAAAAACAGUCUUUUCAGGCUGAGCUCAGGAGCCUGAAUUUCCAUGCUGUAAGUGGCUGGGAUCCACUGGAGGAUUUUAAUUGUGUAAGUUGACAAGAUCAGAUUUGCUAUUCAGAAAGCACACCCUGGCACAGAUCGGUGGGUGGAAUAGAAAGUGGUUGCCCUGGAGACAGGCAGACCCAUUAGGAAGCUCUGACAAAGAUCCAGGAGAGAGAAAAUGAGGAUAGUGGUUGGAGGAAUGAGCAGAUUCAAAGACAUUUUAGAGGUGGAACGGAUGGUCGGGAGACGCUCAUUCAGUGUAAAUGCUGAAGGAAAGGAAGAACCAAGGAGCGCUGUGGUUUCCAGCUUGGAUUUCUAUAUGGAUAGUGAAUAAUUAAUGAAGAUGUGGCGGGCGGGCAUAAUGGGGACUUAAGAGGGAGGUAGUUGUAGAUGGACGUGAUCAAUAUACAUUUGUUUAAAUGUGUAUAACUUUCAAAGAGUAAGAGAAUUAUUAUUUUAAUAGAUCAAGGUAUAAAAUACAAAAAAAAGUCAAAUGGGGGGGGGGGUUUGCUAAUGAAUUCAUAUGUGACCUGUUGAAUUUGAUGUAUCUUUUGGACUUGUAGGUGAAGAAGUCACAUGUGGUGAAUAUAUUAUCAUCAGAAUGCGGAGCAAUGAAAUGUAAACAGAUAGGAAUCGUCACUAAAGCUCCAACUGCAGCCUCCGGGUGCCAUAGCUUUUGCACCAUCCAUUUGCACCAUCUCUGCAGUAAGUCCUAGCUCAAGCCUUACUCCAAAGUACAAAUUAGCAUAGCAGCUCAGUCAACAAUGCCUCCGAGCUUCUGGAAAGAAAGAUGCUCAGUCACCAUAGACCCAGAAUUAAUGAAAAGUCACAGAAAUAAUAGCUCCAUUCUCUACUUGCUUCUGAACCUCAAAUCAGUGGUUGGCAACAAGUUGCUCUCAAUCACUGCCACGAGUCUGGUGAUGCGCUAAGCUCGGGGCAGGAUCUCAAGGGCUUUGAGGAUGUCUGCAUCAUCUGUAUUGACCUGCUCCCCAGAUUAAUACCGAAGCACUGCAAUUUCUUGAGGAUUAUCCACCUAGGAGGAAAUGAUACGCUGGCCCAUCCAUAGUAGUCAAGAAACAGUCUGAGAUCCAAAAAGUGGCUUAAAAGAGGGAAAAGUUAAUCAAAAUGUCUGUGAAGCUCUGGCUUCAGUCUCUCCAGCGAGGCUUUCUGAAGCACAGCUCUGAUAGAACUAAACCCAAUGAGACACCGCCUACAAGAGGAAUCCAGCGUGUGAACGAAGACUAAAAAGCAAAACAGCAGCGUCUGGAGUGGACAGCUUCUCUCACUCAGAGAACUGUAGCCUCAAAUUCCUGGCAGAGGUUUCUUGGAAGAGAAGAAUGAGAUUGGAUCUGAGAAAAUGUGGCUGGGAACCACCAUCUCAGAUGGUAGAAACCACUCAGAAGGAUCAACUGCUGCAGACGGGAAGAGGAGCAACCUCGUGAAUAAUUUCGUGACAGGAUAUUGCAGGAGGGACUUUGUCCAAAUGUGUGCAGGGUAGUUGGCUACAGCAACAAGGAUGACGAACACAGAUGAAUUGAUCAGGAUGUAACCAUUCAAAGUUGAGAGGAUUAGAGGACUUCUCCGAGGCGGCUCCAAUGGAUGCCAGCAGAGUUAAAGUGUCCAAUGGAGAGAAGAGAAGGCUUGGGAAAUCCAGAGUCCAUUCAUUCAUCGCCCUCCUCCUAGAACAACAAAAGCGAGCCCCAGUACUCAUCAGCAUGGACUCUGUGUGUAGUCAUCUCCCUUAGUUUCAGAGGUUCCUGCCUACAGCAAAACUUUAGAGGCUUAGAGUUUAACGGUCAUAGCUUAUUCACCUCCAACUGUGUCCUAGUUCAAGAGAAACACUUCACAUAUCUGUAGGGAGAAGAUAAUGAACCAAGGAUACAAGUUAAGCCUUAGCUAAGACCUGUUACUCAGGAAAAAGAGCUAAAACAAGCUGCUUAGAUCAGCACCAAUGUUAGGUAGAGAGAAAAAGAAACGCUGCAUAGAAAUCUUAAGGUUCACAUGUGCUCCAGGCUGGGUCAACAACUUCUAAUUUCCUUUGCCAACCAACCAUGUCUUUGACAGAAAUGAUCCUUCUACAUAGACCACAGAGGGAUCCAAUGGAGGUUUCUCUUCCUGAAUUUGGGGAUUCAGAAUCUGGACAAAUUCCUUUCCAUCAAAGUCCAGUACAAAAGUAGUACCAUGGCAGUCCCUGCAGGGACUUGCAUCACUUUCCCUAGAGAUAUCAAGAGAAUUUUUAGUGAUAAGAAUAUGGCACAAAAUGAGAAAUCCCAUUACUCUUAAGAGAAUCUCUUCCUUCUCAAAGGCACCUGAUUAAUACAUAUAGUACUAUCAGUAAGGCUGAGCAAAAGGAUACUGAUGUUCUGAGUGAUCUUAAAUCAUGUAAUAAUAACUUUAUUCGUAGUAUAGAACGGAAUAUUCCCUAUUAGUAAUCAGUUCCUUUGCCAGAUCCUCAUAGUAUCUUAGUCACUGUUUUAUUGUUAUGAAGAGAAACUUUGACCACAGCACCUCUUAGAAAAAAGGAAGCAUUUAAUCGGGACUUCCUUAUGGUUUCACAGUUUUACAUAAUUGUCAACAUGGCAGAGAACAUGGGGGCACGCAAACAGACAUGGUGCUGGAGAAGUAGCGGAGAAUAUACAGCAACAUAUAGAUACAAAAUAUAGAUACAUAUAGAUACAGAAUAUAGAUACAUAUAGCUACAUAUAGAUCUGCAGGCAGCAGGAAGAGACUGGGACAAGGCCAUACCUUCUAAGGCUUCUCAAGGAGUGUCACUUCCUGAUGACCAAGCAUUCAAGUGUAUGAGCUUAUGGGAGCCAUUCUUAUUCAAGCCACCACACAUAGCAAAGCUGAUAAUGUCAUUUUCUGAAUUAACCAGGCCAAGGCACACUUCUUAGCAACAUGGUUACCUGGUAACCAGAGAUUUUUCUCAUCCCAUGAGAGAUUUCAUUCAAGAACUGAUCUUCUAACAGUUUUGUCUCUCUUAAGAAUGCUACAGACAGGGUGGGGUGAGGCACAGUGCUGAAGCCCCUCAAGUUUCCCAGAGGGAUGAGUCCAUGAAAGACGAAAAUCAUGUGGUCACACUGAGCAUAGACUUCACAAGCAUCAUGCUAGGAUUCCAUUUUCUUUCUCAACACAAUGAUAAAUUCUUCUUCCAAUAAGCAGAAAAUCAUCCAAUGGGAAAAAAAAAUAAAACCAACUAACUUGCAGUCCUUUGGAACAGUUUCAUAGCUUACAGGAUGGCUUCAUAACCCUGGGGACACUCGUUUUGACAUGAAAACUUCCUUCAGAACAGGAAUUCUGAUCCAACAUGUGCUCAGACAUCAUUUCAGUCACUUGCAAAUGAACAAGAAAGCUCAUGUAAAUGAGGAGGCUCAACUCCCAGGCCUGGUGAGUGGGUAAGACAUUCCUCUGCUGGGUUUUGAAGGCUGUCUGAAACCAUCGGCUGACAUCCUUCUCUGUGUGCAUGUAUGCACUAUCUACGGGAAAUUCAGCUCCAACCGGUUGUCUCUACAGCUCCCUUAAUCUUCUCCUCCCUCCUCCUGGCAUUGGCAUGUGUCCCAGGACUGCAGCGAGGAGUGCUUACCAACAAAGGUGCUGGCAUCUGCAUUUGUUUCACAGCCACAAACCUAAUGGUUCCAUGAUUUUGGCGAGCAAAACUGUCAAAAUGCCUGAGCACAAGAGAUCACAAGAUGAGCCAAGGCAUAGUGUGCAUGCCUUCCUUCCCAGCACUCGGAAGGCAGAGGCAAGGGGAUCUCUGUGGGUUCAAGGCCAGCCUGAAUCACAAGGUGUACUGGGGAUUCUUUUUUAUUGUUUUCCUUUUGCUAUCUGGAAUAGUUUGAGAUUGUAUUUGAUCAGUGCAUUAAACAAC
rnacentral:lncRNA from 1 species